rnacentral:rRNA from 1 species
UUGGAGGGCAAGUCUGGUGCCAGCAGCCGCGGUAAUUCCAGCUCCAAUAGCGUAUAUUAAAGUUGCUGCAGUUAAAAAGCUCGUAGUUGAAUUUCGGGACUAAUAUGUCGGUCGUGCCUCGGUACGUACUGGUUUAUUGGUUUCUCCUUUCUGAAGAACCAUGAUGUCAUUUAUUUGGUGUCGUGGGGAAUCAGGACUGUUACUUUGAAAAAAUUAGAGUGUUUAAAGCAGGCACGCGCUUGAAUACAUUAGCAUGGAAUAAUGAAAUAGGACGUUCGAUCUUAUUUUGUUGGUUUCUAGGAUNGACGUAAUGAUUAAUAGGGAUAGUUGGGGGCAUUAGUAUUCAAUUGUCAGAGGUGAAAUUCUUGGAUUUAUUGAAGACUAACUACUGCGAAAGCAUUUGCCAAGGAUGUUUUCAUUAAUCAAGAACGAAAGUUAGGGGAUCGAAGACGAUCAGAUACCGUCGUAGUCUUAACCAUAAACUAUGCCGACUAGGGAUCGGAUGAUGUUAAUUUUUUAAUGACUCAUUCGGCGCCUUACGGGAAAC